UACGAAGGGGGCUAGCGUUGCUCGGAAUUACUGGGCGUAAAGGGCGCGUAGGCGGACAGUUUAGUCAGAGGUGAAAGCCCAGGGCUCAACCUUGGAACUGCCUUUGAUACUGACUGUCUUGAGUUCGGGAGAGGUGAGUGGAAUGCCGAGUGUAGAGGUGAAAUUCGUAGAUAUUCGGCGGAACACCAGUGGCGAAGGCGACUCACUGGCCCGAUACUGACGCUGAGGCGCGAAAGCGUGGGGAGCAAACGGG
rnacentral:rRNA from 1 species